CUCGUCGUCCUGUCUGAACGUGGAGUGCAUCAGCCUAACAGGUGUCACUGCAGUCCAGGGUGGAGCGGGCACGACUGCGCUAGGAAAAGGAAAACAGGAUAUUUUAAUAUUUAAGUCCAUUCAACGUGAAAGAAGAUUUUGCUCUCCAUGAAGGGAAUUUUGUGUAAUUAUUUCAUAAUUGUAAACCAUGAAUUCUGUCCCCCACCCCUCCCAGGGAAACAAAACAGAUACAUUUUGUAAAAUAAAGCUGUAUUUUUUCAUAUAGAAAAUUAACAGUAUUAAAUAUGCUGCUAUACUGGUAUGAUGUGUAAAAACGAUGUGAUUGUCCAAUGUAUAUGUGUAAACUAUUCUCACGUUUUUAUUAAAGCAUAAAAUACAACUGAA